rnacentral:lncRNA from 1 species
AAUAUCCAGCAUUUUAUUUUGCCAUCUUCUACUAGCUCAAUUUUCAUAUGCUUGAAAGAGAUAAAAGUUAUUAUUGACAUUCCAUUCCAUUCUGUUCCCUGAGGUUCAGUUCUGAUAAGAACUGAAGAGAGGCUACCCUUAUCUGCUUAAUAACAGUAUGUUUGCUUUAACUGAGGAAAAGUUAAUGUCUGGUAGCUCUUUUUGUUCUAUCGUUGCUCCUUUUUCAAAGU